rnacentral:rRNA from 1 species
AUACUUGCAGACUACCAGGAUUCCCCUAGUAACGGCGAGUGAACAGGGAUUAGCCCAGCACCGAAGUCUGCGUCCGUUUGGGCGUUGGACAAUGUGGUGUUUAGGUUGGCGUGUUUGAGCAUUACUCCGUUUAAAGUCCAUUCUUGAAUAUGGCUAAUAAUUUGGCCCAAAGAGGGUGAGAGGCCCGUGUGGAUGGAGUGAUGUUUGACUAGGCUAACUGUAGAGUCGGGUUGUUUGAGAACGCAGCCCAAAGUUGGUGGUAAACUCCAUCUAAGGCUAAAUACUGGCACGAGUCCGAUAGCGAACAAGUACCGUGAGGGAAAGUUGAAAAGUACUCUGAAGAGAGAGUUAACAGUGCGUGAAACCGCUCAGAAGCAAACGGGUGUAGUCAAGCUGCAAGCCUUUGGAAAUAGGGUGAUCAGAGUGGUGUGAGCCUGAGCGCAUAGAGCUGGCUUAUGGGUCCGACUAUACGUCGGGUUUGGCUCGAAAGGGUCGAAUUUGCGGAGUGCCAUUGUGUGCUGCAAGCCUGUUUGUCGGUUGCUCUACUGGUCAUCUCACUUUCCUUUGGCGUAUGUCACGACCGUCGUCGCUGUCGGUCUGCUUCAUUUAAACCGUAUCGUGAGCAGUCUCGUGCUACUGACGUUACGGGGGCAGGUAGCUGGCCGAGUUCACGCUUGGCUGGUGUAAUUGCUGAGUGAAGUGGUACCUUUAACUGUGCAGUACGGCGGGGCUGGCGGUGCAUUGUUGCUGGGUUUACUAUGACUUGUUGGCGUGGCUGGUGUAUGGCUGCUUGUUGCUAUUUUUAAUGGCCUUGCGGUUGCCCGGCUACGGUUUGGCGGGUGGUAGAGCCUGGACAAUCUUGUAUUGUGCCUAUAGUCAGUGGCGUAGUGGUAGACGAUCCACCCGACUCGUCUGAAAACACGCGGAUCAAA